CCCUCCAGCUUCUGAGGGAGACAGACAUGUGUCUCUUUCUCCAAGAACCCAUUCUUCACUUUCUAAAAGACAGACUGACCCUGCCUUGAGAGCCUACCGUUCACAAAUAGAAAAACACAGGAAACAAGGACAGCAAAUAAGGGCAAGGAAAAAGCAGCAAUACAACAGCAGCAAAUAAAGGACAUGAAAAACAUAUUAGAGCGACAAGGUAGAUCUUCCUUCAGGUUAACAGGAGGUUUCAGAACAAAGGGCAUGUCUACACUGCAGCGUUAUUUCAAAAGAACU